AUUGAACGCUGGCGGCAUGCCUAACACAUGCAAGUCGAGCGAGGUGUAGCAAUACACUUAGCGGCGGACGGGUGAGGAAUACAUAGGAAUUUGCCUAUAAGUGGGGGAUAGCGCGGGGAAACCCGGAUUAAUACCGCAUGAUGUCGAAAGACCAAAGCAGGGGACCGCAAGGCUUUGCGAUUUUAGAGAAGCCUAUGGCGGAUUAGCUAUUUGGUGAGGUAAUGGCUCACCAAGGCAACGAUGCAUAGCCGACCUGAGAGGGUGAUCGGCCACACUGGGACUGAGACACGGCCCAGACUCCUACGGGAGUCAGCAUUAGGGAAUCUUCCGCAAUGGACGAAAGUCUGACGGAGCACCGCCGCGUGAGUGUUGAAGGCUUUCGGGUCGUAACACUCUUUUGUUAGCGAAGAACAAGUACGAGAGUAACUGCUCGUACCUCGACGGUACCUAACCAGAAAGCCACGGCUAACUACGUGCCAGCCGCCGCGGUAA
rnacentral:rRNA from 1 species